UUUUAUGGUGAAUACUGAUAAAAUCACAGUAAUUAGCAUUUCCAUCUCCUCUAUGAGUCCUGUGACAGAAGUUUUGAUUUUAAAAAUAUAUUUUUUUAAAUUUGCUUUUGAAAGUCAGAGAGAAAGAGGGAGAGACAGAGAAAGAAGGAGACACAGAGUUAGACAAAUAGUGAUCUUCCAUCUGCUGGUUUAUUUCCCAAAUGCCUACCAAAUCCAGCUUUGGCCAGGCUAAAGUCAGGAACCUUGGGGCUGGUACUAUAGGGCAGUAGGUUAAUCCUUUGCCUGCAGUGCUGGCAUCCCAUUUGGGCACCGGUUAUAGCCCUGGCUGCUCCUCUUCCGAUUCAGCUCUUUGCUAUGGUCUGGGAAAGCAGUAGAAGAUGGCUCAAGUGCUUGGGCCCCUGCACUUGCAUGGGAGACCCAGAAGAAACUCCUGGCUCUUGUCUUUGGAUUAGCUCAGCUCCAGCCAUUGCGGCCAUUUGGGGAUUUCAGCCAUUUGGCCAUUCCAACAGAUGGAAGAACUUUCUGUCUCUUCUUCUCAUUGUCUGUAACUCUAUCUCUAAAUAAAUAAAUAAAAUCUUAAAAAAAUGCAAGGAACCUGGAACUCCAGCCUGUUUUCCCAUAUGGGUGAUAGGGAAACAACUACUUGAUACACCACCUACUACCUCCCAGGGUGGGCAUUACCAAGAAUUUGGAUUUAGAAGUGGAGUUAGAACUUGAAUGCAGGCAUCCCAAGCAACAUCUUAACUACCAUGUUGAGCACUUACUCUAACAGAACUUUUAAUAAAUAUGCUUAUAAGAGUCAAUUUUCAUGUUUGAAAUUGAUAUUACAUACAUACACUGUAUGCUGGUCACCAGGCCACAAGCUGAGAUACACUCAGUAAACUUAAAAUCUGAUGAGAGAGAUUAAACUUUAAAAAUCAUUUUAAUCUUCCUAUAAUGGAGGUAUGUAUAAGCAUCUAUGGGAAUGGAGAGAUGGGAUAGGUAAUUCAUUUUUUCUUGUUUAAUUUGGAUAUUUUUUGAAGAGUUUAUUUAUUUUAAAGGCAGAAUUUCAGAGAGGAGAGAUAUUGAGAGAUCUUCCAUUCACUGUUUCAUUCUUCAAUUGUCCACAAUCGCCAGGGCUGGGCCCUGAAGAAGCCAGGAGCCAGGUGCUUCAUCUGGGUUUCUUAGGUGGAUGCAGGGGCCCAAGGACUUGGGCCAUUUUCUGCUGCUUUCCAAGGCAUAUUAGCAGGGCGCUAGAUCAGAAGUGGAGCUUGAACCGGGGCCCAUGUCUAAGGCUGCAGCUUAACUUGCUGCUCCACAAUGCUGGCCCCAUUUUAAUCUUUAUAACAAUGAUUCUUAUAUUUCUUCUCUCACUCAUUCGAAGGUUGCAACUUAUCUUCUCUCAAUCUCAGUAACUUUCUUACUUAAGUAUGUAUGAUGACAAGUCAUCCUGUAGACAUGAAUCAGAAUCUCCAAGUAGGGAGGGGACAUGGAAGUUGGAAAAGCAUUGCACCCUUACAUGAAUGUUCUCUGUGAGAAUUUGGCUAUGUAAGAUAAUUAUUUUUUUUGCUAGUAUUGAGAAGAGUAAAUUUCAAGGGAAUAGCUUAUAAGUCCCCCCCUCCCCCCAUACACAUACACACAGAAAGUUGGAGAUAGGGCAUGGGUCAGAAAUGGUUGUGGCAAGGGUGAGGUGGAAUAAAUAGAGACCAGAAUCUAGUAUGUGUUUAAUUGUAGGAUGACAAGGCUGGAUUUAAUUUUCUGGAGAUUACUGGAGACGUGAUAUACUCAUACUCAUAAUAUUUCAAAGUGCUUUUUAGUAAUAAAGGAUGAUUGUGGGAUGUUAGUCUGCAAAUUUGGAGACCAACUGAAGAAGUCGCUGAUUCAAGUGAGCAACAAGGAUGGCUGAAGAUUGAGGAAGUGCUGGGGCCGGCGCUGUGGCACAGUGGGUUAAAGCCCUGGCCUGAAGCGCCAGCAUCCCAUAUGGGUGCCAGUUCUAGUCCCGGCUGCUCAUCUCCCGAUCCAGCUCUCUGCUAUGGCCUGGGAAAGCAGUAGAAGAAGGCUCAACUCCUUGAGCCCCUGCACCCAGGUAGGAGACCCAGAAGAAGCUCCUGGCUCCUGGCUUCGGAUCAGCGCAGCUCUGGCAAUUGCGGCCAUCUGGGGAGUGAACCAGUGGAUGGAUGACCUCUUUCUCUGUCUCUGUCUCUACCUCUCUCUGUAACUCUGUCUUUCAAAUACAUAAAAUAAAUAUUAAAAAAAAAAGAUUGAGGAAGUGCUGAAUUGAAUGUGUGGUCAAUGACAACAGAAGCAGGUGCUGACGUUGCAGUACAGUAGGGUAAAAUGCCAUGUGGAACACCUGCUUUACAUAUUGGAGUGCCAGUCUGAGUCAUGGCUGCUCUAUUUCUACUCUAGCUUCUUGAUAAUGUGCCUGGGAAGGCAGCAGAAGGUGACCCAAGUGUUUGAGCUCUGGAACAAACAUGAGAGGCCAGUUUCAGCCUGGCCCAGCCCCUGCUGUUGUGACCAUUUGGAGAAUGAAUCAAUGGAUUGAAGAUCUCUCUCAAUCUUUCUAUCAUCUAUCCCCUUCUUCCUUUCUCUCUUAAAAAAAGAAGCAGGGAAAGUUUGUCCUUUUUUAAACUUCUGCUGCACGUUUCAGCAAAGAUACUUUUGUGUACAUUACCAUUUAAUCUCCACUACCCUGAGAAAUUAAUGUUGCUUCAUUUUUAAAGAAGAGGAAUUUGAAGAACAAAAGAUUUUUCUUUUGACAUCCCAAUGAUGGCCAGUUAGGUAUUGCAAAAGCUGGAAUUAAGUCAGGUUGCUUUGGUUUCAAAAUACAUGCUCUCCUCAUUAUAUAAUUGUUUUUAGAUUUAUGAAAGGAACGAUAGGAAUAUCAGAGUUUUUGCUUGAUCAGUGAGUAUUAGGCCCAUUAAAGUGUGCAAUACUGGAUGCAGGAGAAGAUCAUGCAUGCAGUUUUGGAUAUGACAGUGUGAGUUAUCUGUGAGUGAUCCAUUUAGAUAUAUAUAGAAGGCUUUUGCACAUGAAACUCUAUAGUCAAAAGAUGUACCCUCUGGAUGUAGAUUUAUAGUCACAGAAAUUUAACAGGCUUCCAGAGAUAAGCAAUAGAAGGAUAAGAAAAGAGAGCCUAGACAGAAAUUUGAAGAUCAGCAAUCUUUUAACAGAGACAAAAUGAGUCUACAAAGGAGACAAAGCUAAUCAGACAGCAAGAGCACCAACAAGAUUUCUCAGACUGUGAGAAAGGAGAGAAUUUUAAAGCAUCUCUGGUGGUUCACAGGGGAAAAUGCAGCAUUAUAUUCAAGGCACGCACAUUCAAACAUUUUCCAUACUGUCAGAAAUUGGGUCAGCGGAGCUGGUGAAAAAGGCAGUUCAUUGGAAUGGCAGAGGUAAAAGAAGGAUUUUUCAACUUACUAGCACAAUGCUUUCAAAAAGCUGGACUGUGGGUGUGGCCCUGAGGUUAAGGGGCUGCUUCCGAAGACAGCAUUCCAUUUCAGAGUGUGGAUUUAAGUCCUGGCUCUGUUCCCAGUACCAGCUUCCUUUAAACCUAGAGGCUGCAGGUGAUAGCUCAUGGAGCUGGAUCCCUGUCAUACACAUGGGAGACCAGGAUUGAGUUUCUGGCUUGAGCCUGGCUCAACCUCAGCUAUUGCAGGCAUUUGAAGAACACACUUGUUGGUGGAGCUCUAUCAGUCUGCUGUCUCUCUGUCUCUCUCUAUGUUUCUAUGCCUUCCAAAUAAAUGAAAUAAAGAAAUAAAAUGAAGCAAAAAACUUAUUUGUGAAGGAAAAAGGAUAUGAAAAGGAAUAUACAGACGUGGGACAUCUGAACUUUUUAAGAUGGGCUAGCUUUAAAUAUACUUUUAUUUAUUUUAUGUGUGAUUAUUUUAGCAAGCACUUCCUAUGUGUUAAACAUUGCUUACACUUUGCCUGAAUUGUUUCAUUUACUUCUUUACUUACUUACUUAUUUACUUAAUUUAAAAGACAAAGAGACAGAAAGGCAGAAAAAGAGAGAGAGAUCUAACGUCCACUAGUUCUAUCCCUGAAUGUUACCUACAAGCAGCGGUGUGCCAGAUCAAAAGCAGGAGCCUGGAACUCAGUCAGGUUUCCCUCAUGGGUGGCAGGUGUCCAAAUUCUUGGACCAUCACCUGCUGCCUCCCAGGCUGCGCAUUAGUAGGGAACUGGAUCAGAAGUGGAAGAGCCUGGACUCGAACCAGGCACUCCAGUAUAGGAUGUGGGCAUGCCAAGUGGCAUGUUUGCUGCACCAACUGUUCUUCUUUCAAAUGCAAGCAAGGGAAGCACAAAAAGGUCACCAAAAUUUGCACAAGAUCAACUUGCUGCAAAGAAUAAGAGCCAUGAUUUACCUCUGAGCAGUUUGACUCAGGAGCCAUCCUGUGUAACCUUUGCCUCCUGAGGAAGUGUUCAGAGGGGAGCAGAUGGAAGACCCUUGGGGGAGAAGCCUUAAUGGGUGCAGUGAGAGCCGAUCCACCCCAAGGGCAGUUCAGGGGAGGGAGCAUGAGGCAGUUGAACUUUGUCAAGUGGGGCUUCCCAGCUGACCAGAACCUCCCUUUUCAUACAAGAGAUUUAAUGUAAAUACAGAGCUCCUUCCAAAGAUUGGUUUUAUAAGCUAUCAUUUUCUUUUCUAGACUGUGUUGUGUUUGUGUAAUAUAUUAUAUUAGUUAUAUAAUUAUUUAUAUAAAUUAACUACUGAAAGUGAUUCAACUUAUCAGUUUAUUCAUACAUAAUACUAAGCCCUGUUAGUGAUUACGGUUUUACUUUGCAUUUUAUUUCAUUCAUGAAACAAAUACUGAGUAUCUACUAUGUGCUUGGUGUAUUGUUUGGUUAUUCUUUGUGGAUAAUCCUCAGGCCUAGGCAUAUCCUCAGAGCCUAGGAGAGGAAUAAAAAAUACACUGAUUUCUUGAUACAUAUUCCAAACAGAAUAUUCCUGCUGGCUGCUCAUGUCUCCUUUAAAAACCAUUCUAGCUCAAAUGCUAGCUUUGUCCCUAUUGGGAAGCAAGGCAAGUAUGCUAUGAAGGUCAAAGUUUACAGAGGAAGUAAUAAUCCAAUGAAAGAGUCUAUUCUCAGAAUAUUUACAUUCCUGUUUUCUAAAUGCAGUUGGUUUUCAGAAAACAGCUGAGACUGAGAUAAACAUUUGAACUCAGAAUGUUUGUCCAAACUAGAUCUUGAAAGUUAUAGUCAUUUUAAGUAUUUCCUGUUGAUUCGUAAACCCAGUAUUUUCUCUUUACCUGCUGCCUCUUCUCUGCCUAGCAAGACUAAAUAUCUCCUGUGUAAAGUGUGCCUCUUGUUGGUGCAGGCAGGAUUAGUCACUCUGUCUUCUGUGCUCCCCCUGCCCCGUGACCCCAUAUUUAUAUACAUACAGAUGUCCUUCAUUGCCAUUGCUGAUUUGUUCCAGGUCCUUCUGCAGAUACCCAAACCCACAAAGCCUCCAGUCCCUUCUGUACAACACUCUAGAGUCUGCAUAUAACCUGUGCCUAUAUUUCAUACACACCAGAUCAUCUCUAGAUGAUUUAUAACGCCCAAUGUAAUAUAAAUAUGUAAAUGUUUAAAUAUGUACACAGCUGCUGUACUGUAUUGUUUAGAGAAUAAUGGCAAGAAAACAAUCUAUGUGUUCAGUACAGACACAUUUUUUCCCCAAAUAUUUUCUCCCUGUGGUGGGUUAAAUCUGUGCAAUCUGCAGCUACAGAGGGGCUGCCUGUACUUAGAAGCAGAUUUGCUGUGAAGAGAAGGAAGCUUACUUUUCGGGAUGAGCCCCAGGGAGAAAGCUAGCCACAUGUCCACAUAGUUAUAUGUUUUCAUGAAAUUGGCAAGUGGAAUUUUUUAAAAUCACAGCCUGGGGGCCUAACAUCCUGUUGCACUCCCAUCUUUUCCUGCUGACCACCUCCCUUGUGACCACCGUCUUGCUGAGGCUGUCGACCUUUCAAAGAUCUGAGAAGGAACAUAUGGCAGUUAGUGGGCUGUAUCUGUGUGCCUCACUGUCACUUCCAAGUGCAGUUGCAUUGCGACCAGCCCAGCAGCUCCAGGCAGAAACAUUCUCCAGGACUCCUGCUAACCCUGAGCUGGUUCCUGAAAGUGCAGCUCACAAGUUACGUGGUGGCAGGUAGGUGUUCUAAGGGCAUGUCAAAGCAUGUGAAAAGAGGAAGAAGAAAGAGGCAGAUUCUGCUUCUGUGGCAGGGACCCUGGUGGCUGUGGUCACAGACUUGGAGGCAGCCAACAAGUGUGACUGAAGCCUAAAAGAACCUGUCCAUCACUAGAUUAACUGGUGAGAUUAAGAUUCCUGAUUUACAAAAUUGAAAAGCAGACUGUGUAUCCAUGGUGACUCCACGAAUGUGCUGACACCUGGCAAAGCUCACUCGGAAACAUCUUGUCAGCCUCUUUCAGAAAUGCACAUGAAAAGAGAAACAGGAUAAUGAAAAAUCCAUUGCAAAGCAUCUCGUGAGUAACAGAAAAUUUGAAAAAUACAGCUAAACACAUGUUUACUUCCCAUGUGCAAGCCACUACUGAAGCAAAGAUGAAUAAAAUAUAAUCCUUGCCCUCAAAGAGCUAAUAUUUUUAAUAGGGAGAGAUGAGGAUGUGCAAAAAUCACAAUGCACGUAAAUCAAAACACAAAGUUAAAUGGAUCAUCGAUGGAAGAAAUUUGAGUUGGGGCUUAAAUAAAGGACACUCUUUCUGAAGGGGCUUUGGUAGCAGUGCAGUGAGAAAGUGAUGUGAUGAAGUACCUCGGGGUGGAGGUGAGAUAGUCAGGUGUGUCACCUACUAUCGUCUGAGAGUUUGAAAUAAUUUAUUGUACAAGCACAAUGACCUUCGUGUGGUUAAUUCCAAUGGACAUAUUUCAGUUACUAUUCUCUGACAUGUCAGUGGAAAUUGGGAUUAUUCAUCACUUCCUGCGUUCAGAAAAGCCUCCUUCCUUUAGCUUCUUUGACUUCCCAGUCUCUGCACAUUCUUAUUUUCAUAACUGCUCUCCAAUUCCUUUUUCUAUCUAUGCAUUCUCUGAGCUCCAUAUGUCACCACUGCCAGGCUCUCUAUAGGCAAAUGAAAGUAAACUGAUGUUCUUUAUCAUGCAUUCUACUGCAAUGUAUGGCUGGGAUCUCUCUGAUGUUCUUUUUCUAAGCAAACAGGGUGUUCCUCUAACUAGUAGCUAAAACCAGAACUUCAGAGGUCAUCCUGGAUACUCACCUCCCCCCCCCCCCCCGCUCCCUAACAGCACCAGGUCUAGUACAUCAAAACUCAAGUCAAUUUUUAUUCCCAAGAAUUUCUCUGCCUCCCUCAAAGUUCUUCAGCUGUACUGGCUUGUUUUGGUUUCUAGAAUGUACCCUGCUCUUCCCUGCCUUGGUGAGUUUGAAUGUACAAUAUACAUCAUUUGGGAUUUUCUAUCCCAUACCUAUUUUCAGAUCACAGCUCAAAUGCUGUGAUUGGAAAUGACUUUGAUAAUCCUCCUCAUUAGAUCCUUUUUAUUAGUUAUAUCUUCUCAUAAGUCCUAUAGUCUCCUUCAUAUCAGUCAUCCCAAUUGUACUUACAGGGUCAAUUUUGUAAUCAUUCAUUAAAUUAGUUCAUGAAUUAGCUGAGGACAGAAUUCUCUGUCUUGUGCCAAUGCCUAAUUGAACUUAAAUAUGUAUUUGCUGAAUGAAUGGCAGAAUACAUUAAUAAAUGAAAUGGAAGCAGGAAGGUUGGAAAGGCAGCAGUAAUCUAGGCUUGUAGUAGUACAGAAGUAGUUAGGUCAGAAUAGAUGGGAAAAUUUUGAGAUAUGGUAAGAAAAUAAAGUUGAUAAAACACAUUUACUAUUUGUCUGUAGGUGUCUUAGGGAAAAUGAGAAUCUAGGAGGACCCCCCAAGUUUAAACAUUAGCUGAGUUUGUUCAUUGGCUACUUAGUGUGAGAAAUGCUCAAAGCUGAGGCUAGAGAUUAAGGAAUAGCAAUACAGAGCGAUUUGGGGCAGCAGCAGAGGAGAAUCAAGAAGAAAAACCUGGGGGAAGAGAAAGUUUUUGUAGUAAAUGAUAAAAAUAUACUACUCCUUAUAAAAAUUCCAGUGUAGGGGUGGGUGUUUGGCUCAGCAGCAAACAUGCCACUUGGGAUGCGUGUGUCACAUAUUAAAGUGCCUACACUUGAGGACCGUCUCUAUUCUGAAUUCUACCUUCCUGCUGAUGCACACCCUGGAAUGCAGCAGGUGAUGGCUCAAGUAGUUACAUUCCUGUCAACCUCGUGGGAAAUCUAGACUGAGUUCCUGAGUCCACAGCAUUUGGAAAGAAAACCAGUGGAUGGUGACAACUAACUGAGCACCAAAGGGGAAACUUGUUGAAGUGAAAUGGACACUAUGAGAAACAGUGACUUGAUCAGCUCUUGUCCUGAUGGUUGAUGUACAAUGUAAUACUUUAUCCAUGUUAGUAUUUUUUUUUGUUCUAGUACCAUUGGUUGAACUCUGUAAUUAACACACAAUUAUUCUUAGGUGUUUAAAUUUUAACUGAAAAGUGAUCCCUGUUAGGAAUUUGGAAAACAUUAUGCUGACUGAAAUAAGCCAAUCCCAAAGGGACAAAUACCACUUGUUCUCCUUGAUAGGUGACAACUAACUGAGCACCAAAAAGGAAACCUGAUAAGGUGAAAUGAACACUAUGAGAAACGGUGACUUGAUCAGCCCUCACCCUGACUGUUGAUGAGCAACUUAAUAUGUUAUCCCUCUUAGUAUUUUUUUUGUUUGUUUGUUCUACUUAAUACUUUUGGUUGAAUACUGUAAUCAAUACACAAUUCUUCUUAAGUGCUGAAACUUAACUGAAAAGUGAUCGCUAUUAAAUACAAGAGUGGGAAUAAGAGAGGGAAGAGAUGUGCAAUUCGGGACAUGCUCAAGCUGACUUACCUCAAACGGUAGAGUUAGAAACAUGCCAGGGGAUUCCAAUUCAAUCCCAUCAAGGUGGCAUGUACCAAUGCCAUCUCACUAGUCCCAGUGAUCAAUUUCUGUUCACAAUUGAUCAUAAUGAUAGGACUAAGAACCAAAGGGAGCACAUAAACAAGAAUAGUGUCUGCAAAUACUAGCUGAUAGAAUCAAGAAGGGAGAGUGAUCCAACAUGGGAAGUGAGAUACACAGCAGACCCAUAGAAUGACAGAUGUCCUAAACAGCACUCUGGCCUCAGAAUCAGCCCUUAAGGCAUGCGGAUCUGGCUGAAAAGCCCAUGAGAGUAUUUCAGGCAUGGAAAGCCAAGACACUCUGGGGGGAAAAAAAAAAAAAACCUUAAUGAAAGAUCUCUGCGAGUGAGAUCCCAGUGGAAAGAAUGGGUCAUCAAAGAAGGAGGUACCUUUCUCUGAAGGGAGGAGAGAACUUCCACUUUGACCAUGGCCUUGUCUAAAUAUGAUCAGAGUCAGUGAACUCAGGGGGCUUCCAUAGCCUUGGCAGCUCAUGAGAAGAGCCUAGGGUGAUUACUGAUGCCAUAAACAAGAGUGUCAAUUUGUUAAGUCAACAACAGGAGUCACUGUGCACUUACUCCUCAUGUAGGAUCUUUGUCCUUAGUGUGCUGUACAUUGAGAUUUAAUGCUCUAACUAGUACUCAAACAGUAUUUUUCACUUUAUGUUUCUGUGUGGGUGCAAACUGUUGAAAUCUUUACUUAAUGUAUGCUAAACUGAUCUUCUGUAUAUAAAGAGAAUUGAAAAUGAAUCUUGAUGUGAAUGGAAGGGGAGAGGGAGUGGGAAAGGGGAGGGUUGCGGGUGGGAGGGACGUUAUGGCAGGGGAAGCCAUUGUACUCCAUAAGCUGCACUUUGGAAAUUUAUAUUCAUUAAAUAAAAGUUAAAAAAAAAAAGAAAA